AACGCACGAGACCUGCGGACCUGCGGAAGGAUCAUUAAUGAGAAGCUGCCCCUCGUGGGUAGACCUCCCACCCUCUGUGAACUUACUUUUGUUGCUUUGGCAGGCCCGUCCUCUGGACCGCCGGCUUCGGCUGGCCCGUGCCUGCCAGAGGAUUCCAAACCCUGUCUGUCAGUGUUGUCUGAGUCUAUAUGAAAUCGUUAAAACUUUUAACAAUGGAUCUCUAGAUCGGAAGAGCACACG
rnacentral:misc_RNA from 1 species